CCGAGCGAGGGCCCCCGGGCCCGACCUCCAACCCUUUGUGCACAUCUCUUGUUGCUUCGGGGGCGACCCUGCCGUGGACCGCGGCGGGGGCUCCCGGAGGCCUUCAACCCUGCAUCGGUGCGUCGGCGUUUAAGCGAAUUAAACA
rnacentral:misc_RNA from 1 species